rnacentral:rRNA from 1 species
GGAGUUUGGCAGAGGGGGGUGGAAUUCCACGUGUAGCAGUGAAAUGCGUAAAAAUGUGGAGGAACACCAAUGGCGAAGGCAGCCCCCUGGGUCGAUACUGACGCUCAUGCACGAAAGCGUGGGUAGCAAACAGGAUUAGAUACCCUGGUAGUCCACGCCCUAAACGAUGUCAACUAGGUGUUGGGAGGGUAAAACCUUUUAGUGCCGUAGCUAAC